ACGCUGGCUACAGGCUUAACACAUGCAAGUCGUGGGGAAACGGCAUUAUGUGCUUGCACAUUCUGGACGUCGACCGGCGCACGGGUGAGUAUCGCGUAUCCAACCUGCCCCUUACUUGGGGAUACCCCGUUGAAAGACGGCCUAAUACCCGAUGUGUUUCAUUGACGGCAUCCGAUAUGAAACAAAGGUUUUCCGGUAAGGGAUGGGGAUGCGUCUGAUUAGCUUGUUGGCGGGGCAACGGCCCACCAAGGCGACGAUCAGUAGGGGUUCUGAGAGGAAGGUCCCCCACAUCGGAACUGAGACACGGUCCAAACUCCUACGGGAGGCAGCAGUGAGGAAUAUUGGUCAAUGGACGCAAGUCUGAACCAGCCAAGUAGCGUGCAGGAUGACGGCCCUAUGGGUUGUAAACUGCUUUUAUGUGGGAAUAAAGUGGCGCACGUGUGCGCCAUUGCAUGUACCUCAUGAAUAAGGACCGGCUAAUUCCGUGCCAGCAGCCGCGGUAAUACGGAAGGUCCGGGCGUUAUCCGGAUUUAUUGGGUUUAAAGGGAGUGUAGGCGGUCUGUUAAGCGUGUUGUGAAAUUUAGGUGCUCAACAUUUAACUUGCAGCGCGAACUGUCAGACUUGAGUACACGCAGCGCAGGCGGAAUUCAUGGUGUAGCGGUGAAAUGCUUAGAUAUCAUGAGGAACUCCGAUCGCGAAGGCAGCCUGCGGGAGUGUUACUGACGCUUAAGCUCGAAGGUGCGGGUAUCGAACAGGAUUAGAUACCCUGGUAGUCCGCACAGUAAACGAUGGAUGCCCGCCGUUGGCGCCCUGCGCCUGCGGCCAAGCGAAAGCAUUAAGCAUCCCACCUGGGGAGUACGCCGGCAACGGUGAAACUCAAAGGAAUUGACGGGGGCCCGCACAAGCGG
rnacentral:rRNA from 1 species